rnacentral:rRNA from 1 species
AACGAACGCUGGCGGCAGGCUUAACACAUGCAAGUCGAACGCCCCGCAAGGGGAGUGGCAGACGGGUGAGUAACACGUGGGGAUCUGCCCAAUGGUACGGAAUAAUUCCGGGAAACUGGGACUAAUACCGUAUGUGCCCUUCGGGGGAAAGAUUUAUCGCCAUUGGAUGAACCCGCGUCGGAUUAGCUAGUUGGUGAGGUAAAGGCUCACCAAGGCGACGAUCCGUAGCUGGUCUGCGAGGAUGAUCAGCCACACUGGGACUGAGACACGGCCCCGACUACUACGGGAGGCAGCAGUGGGGAAUAUUGGACAAUGGGCGCAAGCCUGAUCCAGCCAUGCCGCGUGAGUGAUGAAGGCCUUAGGGUUGUAAAGCUCUUUCGCCGACGAAGAUAAUGACGGUAGUCGGAGAAGAAGCCCCGGCUAACUUCGUGCCAGCCGCCGCGGUAAUAC